rnacentral:lncRNA from 1 species
AACAGCGGCCCGCGCCGCUUGACCCAGUCCCGGGAUUCGGGGUGCGAGCGCAGGCAGCGCGGCGUGGAGCCCCUUUGCAGCGUCUCUCUGGGUCUGACUGGGCACUGGCCGUGCCCGCCCUUUCAGCCCGGGCCUGAGAGCCGGGCGGCGAGGGCGCGUGGAGCUGACAAGGUCGUGCCCGCUGGGCCCGCCGGCCCCCGGCUCAGGUGGCGCCUCCCUCGAGGAGGUCGGCCCCCCCUGGCCACCGGGCAGCUGGUGACCGUGGCGCCGGUCUGCCCUGGGCCCCGGAGGCCGAGGAGCCCGGCCAGGAGGGUUUCUCCCGAAGGGCUGGCUCCCAGCUCCGCUCCCUCGGGCCCAGCCUCCCCUUUGGAGCCCUCGCCGCCUCGGGCUGCAGCCGCGAGAGGUGUCUGGCGAGCAGCCGCCUGGCAUCGAUGCCGCCGCCGCCGCCGCCGCGCCUUCCCCGUUCCUUUGUGUGGGCGCGUGGAGUGGAGGAGGCGGGACGAGGGGAGGGGGCCGCGCCGUUCUGUCGGUCCCGGUGUGUCGGGGUGUGUGUGUGCGCGUGUGUGUUCUAAGUGUCACCUCCUUCUCCCGGGGCCCCGGAGCUGCAGAGGAGGCGGCACGGAAGGAGCCGGAGCUCGGCUUUCCCUCAGAGCUUGGGACCCAUUUCGGGAGAAGCUCCAGCCCGGGCGGUGUCGCGCGGCCCGCCCGCUUCCCCGCUUCCCCGCUCUGCUCGGCUCCGCUCGGCUCCGCUGGCACCUCCCGCGGGCCGCCCAGAGCCGCGCGAAGCGGAGCUGCGAGGGGAGGAAAGCGCACUUAAAUAGCGGCGUUGGCCGCGCGUCAUCUGGCGGAGCAGGAAGUGCAGCCCAGUCCCGAGGGGGAGCGGCGCUGGCGAGGGAGGCUGGGAGGAGGCGGCCGCUCUGCGCUCGGCGUCCCCGGGACUUUGCCAUGGGCUGGGGGCAGCGGCAGCAGCAGCAGCGGCGGCGGUGCCAGGACGGCGGCGGCAGCGGCAGCCACAGCCACAUCUGGACCCGAAUCUAA